rnacentral:rRNA from 1 species
CCCUAUGGGGUGCAGCAGGCGAGAAAACUUUGCAAUGUGCGAAAGCACGACAAGGUUAAUCCGAGUGAUUCCUGCUAAAGGAAUCUUUUGUUAGUCGUAAAACCACUGAUGAAUAAGGGGUGGGCAAGUUCUGGUGUCAGCCGCCGCGGUAAAACCAGCACCUCAAGUGGUCAGGAGGAUUAUUGGGCCUAAAGCAUCCGUAGCCUGCUCUGUAAGUUUCCGGUUAAAUCCAUUCGCUCAACUGAUGGGCUGCCGGAAAAACUGCAAAGCUAGGGAGUGGGAGAGGUAGACGGUACUCGGUAGGAAGGGGUAAAAUCCUUUGAUCUAUUGAUGACCACCUGUGGCGAAGGCGGUCUACCAGAACACGUUCGACGGUGAGGGAUGAAAGCUGGGGGAGCAAACCGGAUUAGAUACCCGGGUAGUCCCAGCUGUAAACGAUGCAGACUCGGUGAUGCUCUGGCUUGUGGCCAGUGCAGUGCCGCAGGGAAGCCGUUAAGUUUGCCGCCUGGGAAGUACGUACGCAAGUAUGAAACUUAAAGGAAUUGGCGGGGGAGCACCACAAGGGGUGAAGCCUGCGGUUCAAUUGGAGUCAACGCCAGAAAUCUUACCCGGAGAGACAGCAGAAUGAAGGUCAAGCUGAAGACUUUACCAGACAAGCUGAGAGGUGGUGCAUGGCC